CCCGUCCGGAUUGCCCCCAGCCCUCUGGGCUGGUAGUGGGGGAGGGGCGUCCCGCCAACCUCAGGCAUUGGGGCCUCUGAGACGCUCCCAACCGACCCAGGGUGGUCAGGCUCGAGAAUUGGCCCUGCCACAACUGACCACCUAUCGUUUGGCCCUCCGAUUUCCCUGGAACGCAAAUCGAGAGUCCACAGAUAUUUAUGGAGUCUAUUGUAUGCUGAGAACACAACCAGGGUUGAGAGGAACAAGCACUGCUGUUGUGGAGCCCAAACUCUAGUGUAACAGGAUGAAGAUUAAAUUAAAAUGCAAUAGAAGACCAAAGGCAGAAAAGUUAGAAGUCACAGCCGGGACAACUAAGAAGUGUGUAUUCCCACUCCUUAGUGGGGAAAGCUGCAUGCAGGAAACAAGGUGCAUGGAGGGGAGUCAAGCAACCUGCCUGGUCUGAGAAGGCCACCUGGAGCAGGGGUCACUGCAGCUGACUCUUUGGGGAAGGGAGCAGCUGAGUUUCCUGCUGGCUUGGUAAAUUCCCGGGAGGGGUUCAACAGUGGCAGAGCCUGUCUAGGCCUGGCCAGAUGGACAAGAAUGGGGCAAAGGUGACUGCCCAAGCAGGCCCUGACCAGGCAUCCUAGACUUUGCUGGAACUUGCCUGGCUCUGAGCAGAAUGCUCUGGAAUGGGGGUCAAGUAGGGGGAGCUCAGGGAAGGAGAUAGGGGAACUAACAAGAUAGGCAGCUGGGCAGCCUCCUGCUGGACCUGCAUUGCCCAACACUGGAGUCAUCUGUCCCAGAUUCCUUUCAUAAUGGGAUAAAAUGUACCCACAGUGAGGCCUGAAGUGGGGCCUGGUAGAGACCAGUGACUUCAGUGGCAGGACAGUUGGGUCCCAGGAAAGCCAGAGAAGCAUACACAUUCCUUGGCUUCCUGUCCCCAGCAGCUGCAGGAAGCUGCUCCAAGCUCCCAGCUGUGCCCAGCAACCCCUAAGGACAGGAAAAAGUCUUGUAUCUUGCCAUCCCUCUGAUUGGACACAGAGAGAGUCCUGGAUGGGGUGACUGAGUACUCAACGGCAGGCCCCAAGGGAGGAGGUGGGGCUGCAUGUCAACAUUUGGGGAGGCAGCUCAGGUCUUGUAUGGGACAGAGCCUGUGGCAAAGGUCCCCAACCUUCCUUAAUUUCAUAAUCUGAAAAGGCUAUUAACACUUUUCCCAGACAAUCACUCCCUACACACACACAAUCUUGCCUAUAAUUUAAAAGGA